UUCAACGAUGAGGCAUAUAUGUCAACUAUGGGUGUUGGCUCCAACAAUUCUCAUUGGUCUCAAACCAAUGACAUGCAUUUCGAUGACCAUGAGUUCGAGGUGGACAAGGAUGGUGAGGGCAUUGUCGACGCACCAAAAGGAAGAGGAGGCAACUACACCAAUGAUGAAGACGUCUUGCUAUGCAAUACUUGGUUGCAAGUGUCGAGGGAUCCAUCCGUUGGAGGUGAUCAAAGUAGAGAUGCAUAUUGAAACCGGGUGAAGGAGCACUUUGAUCUACACAACAAGAGUGGAGUUGACCGCUCGAAACGAUCUCUUCGCUCCCGAUGGUCGACAAUCAAACGAGAUUGUCAAAAGUGGGCGGCCGCACAAAAGACGGUUGACAAGUUGGACCCA
rnacentral:rRNA from 1 species